rnacentral:tRNA from 1 species
GUUAAAACUAUAGUGCUUGAUUUCGACUUAAGUUUAAAAGAUAAUU